rnacentral:lncRNA from 1 species
UGGACCUAGGAGUAUCGAAUACCGCAGGUCGAUUUUCGAUGCUAAGGGUUUGACUUUGGCUGUUUGUAUAUCAGACUGGUUGGAGACUGUGGUAACGAGGUGAGUGUUAUUGACACAGGUUUAGGGACAAUGAUACGGAUUCGCUCGUGGUGAGUUGGUUAAUGUGGUUGGCUUGUCGGAGUGUGUUGUUUUGGCCUACGAAAAUAUACUCCAGACUUGUGGUGUUGUCCCUGAACUUUUUUGUGUGAACUUUCGACGUAAUUGAGUUAGUUACUGAUACGCGAACAAUGAUUAGGUGGACUUAGAGUUUCUGAGUAGGGAGUUAUUAUAUCAGUUUUGGCAGAUAUGGGAUCGGAUAGUCCUAGUCUCGGUAUCAUUUUUGUCCGUAGGUUAUUGGAUGGUGGUGAUCGGAU